GUAGGGAAUAUUGCGCAAUGGGGGAAACCCUGACGCAGCGACGCCGCGUGAGUGAUGAAGGCCUUCGGGUCGUAAAGCUCUGUUGCAGGGGAAUAAAAAAAUGAAGGUACCCUGUGAGGAAGGAUCGGCUAACUUCGUGCCAGCAGCCGCGGUAAGACGAGGGAUCCUAGCGUUGCUCGGAAUCAUUGGGCGUAAAGAGGGCGUAGGUGGCAUGGUAAGUCAGGUGUGAAAGCCCAUGGCUCAACCCUGGAAGUGCAUUUGAUACUGCUGAGCUUGAGUGUCGGAGAGGUUACCGGAAUACCUGGUGUAGUGGUGAAAUACGUAGAUAUCAGGUGGAACACCGGAGGCGAAGGCGGGUAACUGGACGAACACUGACACUGAGGCCCGAAAGCGUGGGGAUCAAACAGGAUUAGAAACCCCAGUAGUCC
rnacentral:rRNA from 1 species